GAUGAACGCUGGCGGCGUGCCUAAUACAUGCAAGUCGAGCGAACGGACGAGAAGCUUGCUUCUCUGAUGUUAGCGGCGGACGGGUGAGUAACACGUGGAUAACCUACCUAUAAGACUGGGAUAACUUCGGGAAACCGGAGCUAAUACCGGAUAAUAUUUUGAACCGCAUGGUUCAAAAGUGAAGGACGGUCUUGCUGUCACUUAUAGAUGGAUCCGCGCUGCAUUAGCUAGUUGGUAAGGUAACGGCUUACCAAGGCAACGAUGCAUAGCCGACCUGAGAGGGUGAUCGGCCACACUGGAACUGAGACACGGUCCAGACUCCUACGGGAGGCAGCAGUAGGGAAUCUUCCGCAAUGGGCGAAAGCCUGACGGAGCAACGCCGCGUGAGUGAUGAAGGUCUUCGGAUCGUAAAACUCUGUUAUUAGGGAAGAACAUAUGUGUAAGUAACUGUGCACAUCUUGACGGUACCUAACCAGAAAGCCACGGCUAACUACGUG
rnacentral:rRNA from 1 species